GAGCCCUAGAACAUUCGAAACAGCCCGCACGACGUUUGAAAGAAGAAAAAUCGAUGGACAGCAGUGCCGGCCGAUGAGAGAGCGCGUGCCGCCGCCGUCGCAUGACAACAACUAAAGUGGGCAACGCACACUCACUCAAUUUGUGUCUGUCCGUCUUUUUCUCUGGCGCACACAUUCGCUCCUCAUAUAUAGCAUUGUCUACACAAAAAAUUUCAGAU
ensembl:ncRNA M117.11 ncRNA